ensembl:snoRNA
UCUCGUCUUCUUGGCGGGGGUGGAUGGAGCGGUCUGGUGCCUGUCACGUGUGGAGGCAGAGGGAAAGGCCCUCGGCAUCCUCUCUUCGGUGCCAGCGGCUUCCAGUCCUCUGGUUCUAUCAAGCGCUGGGACACAG